GAAAGGUUCCAUGUGAACAGCAGUUGGACAUGGGUUAGUCGAUCCUAAGAGAUGGGGAAACCCUGUUUCAAGGGCGCACUUUGCGCGAUCAUCGAAAGGGAAUCGGGUUAAUAUUCCCGAACCGGGACGUGGCGGCGGACGGCAACGUUAGGAAAUCUGGAGACGUCGGCGGGGGCCCCGGGAAGAGUUAUCUUUUCUUUUUAACAGCCU
rnacentral:rRNA from 1 species